rnacentral:lncRNA from 1 species
CAGCACAGCCCUUCCUACAUGUCCCUACGUGUAUGUUUCCCUAUCUGUCACCUUCAGUAGCCCAUGAGCUCCCACGGGGCAGGCGCGGGAUUUUAAGGCACAGCUUGUGCUCAGGAAAACUGGAUAGAUUCGUCUUGGUGUGUUGAGUGUCCAUUUUACAGAGGAAGCAGUUGGGACCCGGAGAAGUUAGUCUUGGCUAAGUUCACAGAGCUAAAAAGUGACAGAGCUAGGACUUGAAAUCAGGACCUUUGAGUCACGUCUCUGCCUGACCUCAGCCCUGCGGGCCCCGUUCCCGCCAUUCCUUCCUGCCUCUCACGUUGACUGGGCUCCCCCUGUCGGUCGGCACUGGCUGAACAGCCAUGGAGUGGCGCUUUGGGGAAACCACGGGCGACCAGGAAAGAUCUCAGGCAAGCCUCGGGAAGAACAAUUAAGGAAGAGGUGCUGACACUCCAGGACCCCUGAGAGGCGUCGAGGAGCCUGAGGAGGGCGGCUGCCUCCAUUACAGUUCUUCGAAGGUUUGUUGACUGCAUGAAUGAAGGAGAUAACAGGGCCAGACUCCCAGGCAUGUGGGCCCUGUGGGGUCCAGCUGGCAGCCCUCACCACUGUGACCACGGGACAGGUGGGCGGCCCACUGAGCCAACGCCCAUCUGCCACGGGCUGAUGCGGUGAGAGCACAGCUGGAGGCCUGGCCGGGGGUCUCCUUCCUUCCGGCCCCCCGGUCAAGUUCACUGUGAAGAGAGGAGGUGAGACGUCCAGCCCGCCCUGGGAUCCCCGUGGGAGCCCAGUUAUUUACUGGAAACAGUGAGGGAUGAAUUCUUGGCAGCUUCACUCCAUGCGAAGCAGAGACACGGCUCAGCACCAGUCUGGUUUUGAUCAGUUCCAACCAAACAGACAGCUUGUUAAACCUGAGCUGAAGGCCUCCCUUCUGGAACCCUUGCCCUGCCCUCCCCUCCCACCCCAGGGCUGUAAGGCCCCCUUGAAGAGCAGUGGGUCCAGCCCGCCCAUUUUACAGAUGGAGAGACCAGGCUGGAGUGCAAUGGCAUGAUUUUUGGCUCACUGCAGCCUCCGCCUCCUAGGUUCAAGUGAUUCUCCUGCCUCAGCCUCCCCAGUAGCUGGGAUUACAGGCACCCGCUACCACGCCCAGCUAAUUUUUGUAUUUUUAGUAGAGACGGGGUUUCACCAUGUUGGCCAGGCUGGUCUCAAACUCCUGACCUCGUGAUCCGCCCGCCUCGGCCUCCCAAAGUGCUGGGAUUACAGGCGUGAGCCACCGCCCCUGGCCACCCUCAAGGCCCUUUGAUCUUCCGCCACUUCCAGUAGCUGGAGCCUGGGCUGGCAGGGCCCCAGCAGUGAUGGAUGUGCCCUCCUGGCAUCCCGUUGGGAAACACGUGUCCACUCACGCAGGUCCUGGGGCUUCUGCCCGGCAUUCAAGCCCCCAGCCCUGGCUCCCAUGGCUCAUUUGCCCACACGCAGCCCUUAUGUCCACUCAGUGCCUUUAUCUCCCCCAGCCACAUUGUCUCUGCCCCCACCGUCUCGUCCUGUAGAGCCGUCCAGGCCAGAGUCAAGUUUAUGAGUUCCUGAUCUAGUUCACACAUGGCUUUCACGUGUGGCCCCUCACUUUAUCCCCACCAUUACUUGUGAAGCAGGUGCCACUGUGAUGGUCCCCAUUUUACAGAGGGAGCCACUGAGGCUUGGAGAUGCAAAGUCACUGCCUGCUGUUGGUGAGCAGGGAUUGAGGUUCUGAUCUGUAUGUUCACUUGCUGCAGGGCUUGGCCAAGAGGCUCAAAAAAUCCUGGAGUCAGGGCUAGAAGGAGUCUGGGGAGGGAGUGGCAUUUAAUCCAAACUCAGGAGAUCACUAACACUCAGAAUCUUGGAAACUCUGUGCCUGGAAGGACUCUUGCUGGUCACUGAAACCACCCACCCCACUCAGCAGUAGCCUCCAGCCCUUGCUUGGACACUCCCAGGGAUCGGAAGCGCACUUCUUCCCACUUGGGUCAGCGCCUGCCCUUGUGGGACUGCUGUGACUGGAGGAACACCUUUUCUCCCACAGAGCCAAGAGCUGUGUGCCUCCCAGGCCAAUCAGAGUCUGGAGGCCACCACAGAGGGCCCCUGGGUCCUCUUCCUUCCAGGCAGGCAACAAGGGAGGAAUGGGGUGAGGUGGACCUCUGGGGCUGGGCUGGAGAGGGGGGAGGUUCCCAGCUCAGGCCACAAGGGCAGAGCAGGAAGUUCAACCCCACCUGCCACUGAUGUGUGGCCCCCACGAAGUCUCUGCCCAUCUCCGAGUCCUAUUUCUCCAUCUGGAAAUGAGAGAGGGCAGCUGAGAGGCUGACAAGCUCCCAGUUCGCAGUGUGGGCAUCAUCAAGGGCUGUGGGAAUCUCAGGUGACCUUUGACUGCCCUCAUCUCCCCAAGGUUGUGGGGGUGCCGCACCAGCAGCUCCUUCCAAGCAUUGAUUCACAGCUGGGGAGCACCUGGUGGGCAGAUGUGGGCUCCCGUCACCCUGCUGGAUCCUGCUUGUGUGCAGGCAUGAGUGUUCGUGUGUGUGCGUGUUGUGCACAUACGUGUCUGAGAGUGCAUUGGGAAGUGAGGGCAGCACCCAGUGGGGUCAGGGGAAGGUGCUGGGUCUGCUGACUCACAGUGGGACCCUGGGAAGUCCCUGGCCCAUCGCGCCCAGCCCCUCACGGGCCCUGAGUAGUGCCCUUCUGAGCAGAGCCUCCGCUGCAGCUCAGGGCCCUGGGGCUGUGGGGGCGUGAAUGUGCCUUCUCCGCCCCAACCUCCGCCCGUGCCAGACACCGAGGCAGCGAGUGAGUCUGCCUCAGGCAACGAGUGUCUCAGGAGGAUGCAGCCAUGCAGGGCAUUUUCUGAGAGCAAAGAGAGCCUGGUGUCAAGGUUGGGUGGAGGGGGUGAGGCCUUGCUCCACCUCCCAGAGUCUGGUUGGAGGUGCAGGGAGAGGGGUCACUGGCUCCCCCAGAGUCGGCCCCCAGAGUCGGCCCAAGCGAUCUCAAUGGCCCUGUGAGGUCAAGGAUGAAUUCCCCCUUCCACAGAGGAAGAAACCAGGGGGACCUAGCCAAGGUCACUCCCUCA